CUGCAGUGAUGACUUUCUUAGGACACCUUUGGAUUAAUCAUGAAAAGAAAAUGGAGUUCUGAGCAGC
ensembl:snoRNA SNORD58 Small nucleolar RNA SNORD58